UUGAUAUUUUCUUUAAACAAACGUAACAAAUGAUACGUUGGUAUAGUUGCCCUUGUACAGUACUUUAAUUAGGCACAAACAAUGCUUUUAAAAUUAAAAACGGCAACGAGCAAUUCCCGUUUAAAAUUAUUGAGAAAUUAAUUAAUCCGUAACAAUUAGAGCGUAAAAUAAAUGGGACCGAACUACAUUACUCUCUCUAAUUAAGUUUUCUUUUUUCAUUAGAAACUUAAUCAUUUCGUUUUCUUUAAUUAAUUAUCCAACAUGACUUUUAUAUAAGUCGAUUUAUGCAGAUUAAAUUAAAAAUUGGUUGUGGCAUCGAGUUAUGAACAUUUUUUAUUGGUUGGAGCAACUGAAAAACUGGGAAUGAACAUAUUUAAAUAAUAAAAUUUUGAUUGAAAUGGCUAGAUGGCUCUUUUUUUUUCUUCGAUGCUUUUAUUUUCCAUCUUUGUAAUGGUAUAUCCAGACUAUCAAACAUGUGCCAUGAAUGAGUUAACAGGAAAAGGAGAAUUUCCAAGAGAUUCAAAUGGACUUUUAUACCGCUGUGAAAGCAAUAAGGAAUGUGGCAGAAUUUGCAAGGACCACGGCAGAAUGGAAACCGAUGGAAAAUGUUGCUAUG